rnacentral:rRNA from 1 species
AGAUUGAACGCUAGCGGGAUGCUUUACACAUGCAAGUCGAACGGCAGCGCGGACUUCGGUCUGGCGGCGAGUGGCGAACGGGUGAGUAAUAUAUCGGAACGUGCCCAGUAGCGGGGGAUAACUACGCGAAAGCGUGGCUAAUACCGCAUACGCCCUACGGGGGAAAGGGGGGAUUCUUCGGAACCUCUCACUAUUGGAGCGGCCGAUAUCAGAUUAGCUAGUUGGUGAGGUAAAGGCUCACCAAGGCGACGAUCUGUAGCUGGUUUGAGAGGACGACCAGCCACACUGGGACUGAGACACGGCCCAGACUCCUACGGGAGCAGCAGUGGGAAUUUGGACAAUGGGGGAAACCUGAUCCAGCCAUCCCGCGUGUGCGAUGAAGGCCUUCGGUGUAA